UCCCCAAAUCUCAUUUCCCCUUUGACCUUAAAAACAUCAUCAUACACUAGUAGUAUUAGUAUUCUGUUCAACCGCUCGUCACUACUCACCCCAUAUUUUAACUCCCAUUCGUCAAACGGGCCACAAAGGAUGUUCGAAUUUGUAUUUUGCGCCGACCCUCCUUUUUUUUUAAAAAAAAAAAAAAUAGAAGAAGAGAAAAGAAAUAGCCGUCUAUAGAUCUGAAAGAAAAACAGUGCUGCUAGCGUUCUAAUGUGCUAAUUUAAGCCCAGCGAGAGAGUUCGGAUGCGUGGGCGGUAGAAGGUUACAUCCAGAAAUUACUAGCUUUUAGAUUGAGGAUAUAUUGGUACCAAUAGGCAGUUACCGUAUUCUUAACUGCGAUUCUGGGUGUCCGAAAUAAUGGUAGCUGCUGGAGUGGCAUCUCUCGUGCUGUGCUGGCUCCGGAUUUCCGUCCUCCUUUUCUUAUUUGCUUGAUGGCCUCUCGCUUCGACUUUCCCUAAAGCGGGCAACGCCCGGAGAGCAUGGAAAACAUAUCCUUCAGCACCCCCUCGCCCUGUCAUUAGUGGAUGUGUUCGGCCAGGAAGGACCUGCCAUGGCCUUACGCGCGAUGUUUGUAUGGUCGGAGAUAGAAGGAGCGUCGGGUCAACUGGGAAAUCACAUUCGUUGAUUGCGGUUGCCUCGUUUUGCUUCGGUCCGUCCUGAUCCUUGACAUGGUUAGGAUUCCCGUUGGUGGAGACCGGGUCCUUUUGGGAAGCGAGGCGAAGAAGACUAAUGUACGCAGUGCGUCGGGCUGUAGAGUAAAAGUCUGCUAGCAUCACUAAUGGUUCGAUGUGUGGUGCGUAAACCACCACUGGUGCAGAGCCGGAUAAUAAGGGCACUGUGUGCCUCAAUAUUGUUGUUGGGUCCAUUAAACUUGCAACUAUUAGGCCAUCAAAACCGCCUGCCCGGGUUUCGUCGACAACUCUGCGAACUUUAUUCCACCGCCGGCGUUUGCGAUAGUACAUGCCACGUUUAUUUGGUUUCAAAUUCGCUAGAUCGGUUUCUGAUGCGACCGGAGGUUCAUUGGAAUACACCGGAUCUGUGGAAGGGUCGAGGAGCUGCAGCCAAGAUAAAGUUUUGAGAUUGGUAUGAAGGGGGUGUGAAGGAGAUGGGUCGCCAACAUCAAACGAGAAGUACUUGAGAAGUGAUAGGUUAGGCUGAGCAUUGGGAUGGAUCAUAGUGAGCGUGGUAUUGUUGGAGGACAUCCCCGGGGAAAAGCGUUGACGGCGAGCUGACGAAGCAGCGGUGUCAGCGGCCCGAGAUGAGUCGCUGUUUGGUUUUGCAGGGCUAUAUUGGCUGGAAUUUUGCGGUUGUGGGCCAUCGGAUUUCUCGGUUUGAAGCCGUGAGGGGAGUUCAUCGUCUUCUAGGUCUCGAACGUAAGUCUCAUGAGGAUAGAGUAUUCCCAUACGCUCUGCCAUGGCUGCCACAACCAGGCCUCCAGUGUCGUCAAUAAUCAGCCAGCGACUAGCCUGGUGCAUUUCGGUUGCCUCUGAAACCAUGAAUGCAUUUCCGCCAUUAUGGACAUUCGCCCAGCAGCCUAUGAGCCCGAUUACCUCGUCCCUUAGCUCCAAAACUUUUGUGGCAUCUUUCUGCUCUAACAUCCAGUGAGUGAGGAGGGGUAUAUCCAGGGGUAGGACAGAGAACCGCCUGAGGUACUUUUUCCUUUUUCUCAGUGUGUAUUUGGCCAGCGAAAAGUCAGUCUUUUUAUCUAGGCCGGAAUGGGACUCGAGAAGUUUGUUGAUGAUUUCCCUGCCAGCAUGUGUGGUCCCCGCCUUCAAAGCCUCAAUUUCGUCCAUAGUCAUAAGCUGGCUCGAAUUAUCAUCAACAGUAUCUCGGUUUGUCCGCAUGGGGCUUUCAAUGUGCCGAAACUCCUCGUUAUCCUCAUCUUCCCCGGGAAUAGACUCAUCAGCUAUUAAUGAUUCUGCAUGCAACUCAGCCGCUGGAACAAUACGAAGCGCGUGAUUGCCUUCCGCAUGUGGCUGAUCAAGAAUCUCGAAGGUGAGAUGGUAAGGUCGCCCUAUGAUCUGGUUUGAAAAGAAUGAACCGUAUUUUCCAAGCGAUAUUAUCCUAAGUGGCUAGUCAGUUCGCGAACAUAGUGGGAUGGGAAGGGGAGCAUGAUUCCUUGAGAAUCGAAACAAUAAAGGAAAUAUGCUCACGGGGGUCCCAAAACAUACGUAUUAGGGAUUAUUUGUUGGACCUUGAUUGUAUCUGACGGCAGCCCUAACGCAAUAUAGGCGUAGGGUUGGACUGUCGAAUGCAUCUGCAGACAAAAUGAGGAAAUAAAUUAUACAACGGGCUGUAGUCUAACCAUAAAGAGCCAUUACGGAGAAUAAUUAAUUCCCCUUUACUAUUUUUUGCCUAUUUUUCUUCGGAUGUUUUGGGAGCGGGGGGAAUAGAGCAGACGGUUGCGACAGCGGCUGGUAUGGGUAUUUUAGAUUUUAUAUUUUAUAUUUUAUAUUUAUAUUUAAUUUUUUUUUAAUGAAAUAUCGGAUAUAUAAACCUCC
rnacentral:sRNA from 1 species